rnacentral:rRNA from 1 species
GAGGAAGGGGGGAGGAGGGAGGAAUACAUGCAAGUCGAGCGAACAGAUGAGGAGCUUGCUCCUCUGACGUUAGCGGCGGACGGGUGAGUAACACGUGGAUAACCUACCUAUAAGACUGGGAUAACUUCGGGAAACCGGAGCUAAUACCGGAUAAUAUAUUGAACCGCAUGGUUCAAUAGUGAAAGACGGUUUUGCUGUCACUUAUAGAUGGAUCCGCGCCGCAUUAGCUAGUUGGUAAGGUAACGGCUUACCAAGGCGACGAUGCGUAGCCGACCUGAGAGGGUGAUCGGCCACACUGGAACUGAGACACGGUCCAGACUCCUACGGGAGGCAGCAGUAGGGAAUCUUCCGCAAUGGGCGAAAGCCUGACGGAGCAACGCCGCGUGAGUGAUGAAGGUCUUCGGAUCGUAAAACUCUGUUAUUAGGGAAGAACAAAUGUGUAAGUAACUAUGCACGUCUUGACGGUACCUAAUCAGAAAGCCACGGCUAACUACGUG